AAUGAGGGGCAUGUGGAGUUUUGCCAGGGCUGAGAAAGGCCCUGUGAUCCGAGAAAAGCAGCAGUCAAGAUAGGAGCCAUAGAAAUGCCUUGGAAACGAUAGGUGUGCUCUCGACAGAGGUCCCUGCAAGGGGUGGGAGGUUUCUGGGAGGAGGCUGCUGGCCGUGUCUUAGGGCCCCAGAAUUCAGACUGAUCUCCUGGGCCUGGUGCCCUGUGAAGCUGGGAGCUGUGGAUCAUCUUGUUAACCUGUGUGUGAGCCUCUGUUGGAAGAGCUGUUAGCAGGACAAGCGUUUUCUUAAAGUUAGAGGUGUCCUUUGUUUGUCUUCAGUGCUAGAGAAGCUGAAUCUUUCCCAACAAAAAUAAUUUGCUUAUUACCUGGUCAAGCUGAUCAGUGCAGGUAAAGUCCCUCCCUUUAAAACAGGUGUAAACACAGGAGCCCCAGCAAGAUAUGUCAGCCGCUGGGGACACUUAGGGUAUCUCGAAGGUGACAGUGGGAAGUGUCGUGGGGUUGUGGCAGGACUUGUGUUCUUGCACUGAAGUGCUGUGCGCUCCCCACAGUAUGCAGGGCCAGGGCUUCUGACUCAGAUCAGUUGCCCUAUGGCCUGCCUUCGCUCCUCCUCCUGAGAACAGGCAAACAUUUAAAAGUAGUAAGUUCGCUUUGGGAGGCCGAGGCGGGUGGAUCACGAGGUCAGGAGAUCAAGACCAUCCUGGCUAACACGGUGAAACCCCGUCUCCACUGAAAAUACAAAAAAUCAGCCGGGUGUGGUGGCGGGCGCCCGUAGUCCCAGCUACUCAGGAGGCUGAGGCAGGAGAAUGGCAUGAACCCGGGAGGUGGAGCUUGCAGUGAGCCGAGAUUGCGCCACUGCACUCCAGCCUGGACGACAGAGCCAGACUCCAUCUCAAAAAAAAAAAAAAAAAAAGUAGUAAGUUCGUACUUUAAAAAACAUCCCUCACUGGGGCUUCUGCCUUCAUCCUCCCCUCCUAAAGUUUGGGGACGUCACUACCUAAUCUUUCUCUUGGACAAACCACAUGCUUCUUCCUGGGCUCCUUGCUGAGCAUCUGGGGCCACCCUGACUCUGAAAGACGGUGUCCCGGCAGAGAACUUGCUUCACAGCUGCAUGAUGCCCUUUGCUUUCCCAGCCCACCGGAGAUCCUCCUUCAACUUUGAGUGCCUGCGCCGGCAGAGCAGCCAGGAAGAGGUCCCGCUGUCUCCCAUCUUCCCCCACCGCACGGCCCUGCCUCUGCAUCUGAUGCAGCAACAGAUCAUGGCAGUUGCCGGCCUAGAUUCAAGUAAAGCCCAGAAGUACUCACCGAGUCACUCGACCCGGUCGUGGGCCACCCCUCCAGCAACCCCUCCCUACCGGGACUGGACACCGUGCUACACCCCCCUGAUCCAAGUGGAGCAGUCAGAGGCCCUGGACCAGGUGAACGGCAGCCUGCCGUCUCUGCACCGCAGCUCCUGGUACACAGACGAGCCCGACAUCUCCUACCGGACUUUCACACCAGCCAGCCUGACCGUCCCCAGCAGCUUCCGGAACAAAAACAGCGACAAGCAGAGGAGCGCGGACAGCUUGGUGGAGGCAGUCCUGAUAUCCGAAGGCUUGGGACGCUAUGCAAGGGACCCAAAAUUUGUGUCAGCAACAAAACACGAAAUCGCUGAUGCCUGUGACCUCACCAUCGACGAGAUGGAGAGUGCAGCCAGCACCCUGCUUAAUGGGAACGUGCGUCCCCGAGCCAACGGGGAUGUGGGCCCCCUCUCACAUCGGCAGGACUAUGAGCUACAGGACUUUGGUCCUGGCUACAGCGACGAAGAGCCAGACCCUGGGAGGGAUGAGGAGGACCUGGCAGAUGAAAUGAUAUGCAUCACCACCUUGUAGCCCCCAGCAAGGGGCAGACUGGCUCUGGCCUCAGGUGGGGCGCGGGAGAGCCAGGGGAAAAGUGCCUCAUAGUUAGGAAAGUUUAGGCACUAGUUGGGAGUAAUAUUCAAUUAGACUUUUGUAUAAGAGAUGUCAUGCCUCAAGAAAGCCAUAAACCUGGUAGGAACAGGUCCCAAGUGGUUGAGCCUGGCAGAGCACCAUGCGCUCGGCCCCAGCUGCAGGAAACAACAGGCCCCGCCCUCUCACAGAGGAUGGGUGAGGAGGCCAGACCCGCCCUGCCCCAUUGUCCAGAUGGGCACUGCUGUGGAGUCUGCUUCUCCCAUGUACCAGGGCGCCAGGCCCACCCACCUGAAGGCAUGGCGGCGGGGUGCAGGGGAAAGUUAAAGGUGAUGACGAUCAUCACACCUGUGUCAUUACCUCAGCCAUUGGUCUAGCAUAUCAGUCACUGGGUCCAGCAUAUCCAUUUUUAAACCCUUUCCCCCAAAUACACUGCAUCCUGGUUCCUGUUUAGCUGUUCUGAAAUACAGUGUGUAAGUCAGAACCCAGCUACCAGCGAUCAUUGUGAGGGCAAUGGGACCUUAUAAAUAAGGUUUUCUGUGAUGUGAUGCCAGUUUACAUAAGAGAAUAUCACUCCGAUGGUCGGUUUCUGACUGUCACGCUAAGGGCAACUGUAAACUGGAAUAAUAAUGCACUCGCAACCAGGUAAACUUAGAUACACUAGUUUGUUUAAAAUUAUAGAUUUACUGUACAUGACUUGUAAUAUACUAUAAUUUGUAUUUGUAAAGAGAUGGUCUAUAUUUUGCAAUUACUGUACCGUAUUUGAACUGCAGCAAUAUCCAUGGGUCCUAAUAAUUGUAGUUCCCCACUGAAAUCUAGAAAUUAUUAGUAUUUUUACUCGGGCUAUCCAGAAGGAGAAGAAAUAGAGCCAAUUCUCAUUUAUUCAGCGAAAAUCCUCUGGGGGUAAAAUUUUA
rnacentral:sRNA from 1 species